rnacentral:rRNA from 1 species
UACAGAGGGGGCUAGCGUUGUUCGGAAUUACUGGGCGUAAAGCGUGCGCAGGCGGUUGUGCAAGACAGAUGUGAAAAUCCCCGGGCUCAACCUGGGAAUUGCAUUUGUGACUGCACGGCUAGAGUGUGUCAGAGGGGGGGUAGAAUUCCACGUGUAGCAGUGAAAUGCGUAGAGAUGUGGAGGAAUACCGAUGGCGAAGGCAGCCCCCUGGGAUAACACUGACGCUCAUGCACGAAAGCGUGGGGAGCAAACAGG